rnacentral:rRNA from 1 species
GUGGAUUAGAUACCCUGGUAGUCCACGCCCUAAACGAUGUCAACUAGGUGUUGGGAGGGUAAAACCUUUUAGUACCGUAGCUAACGCGUGAAGUUGACCGCCUGGGGAGUACGGCCGCAAGGUUAAAACUCAAAGGAAUUGACGGGGACCCGCACAAGCGGUGGAUGAUGUGGAUUAAUUCGAUGCAACGCGAAAAACCUUACCUACCCUUGACAUGUCCAGGAGCCCUUAGAGAUUUGGGUGUGCCCGAAAGGGAACUGGAACACAGGUGCUGCACGGCCGUCGCCAGCU